GAUGAACGCUGGCGGCGUGCCUAAUACAUGCAAGUCGAGCGAACAGACGAGGAGCUUGCUCCUCUGACGUUAGCGGCGGACGGGUGAGUCACACGUGGAUAACCUACCUAUAAGACUGGGAUAACUUCGGGAAACCGGAGAUAAUACCGGAUAAUAUAUUGAACCGCAUGGUUCAAUAGUGAAAGACGGUUUUGCUGUCACGUAUAGAUGGAUCCGCGCCGCAUUAGCUAGUUGGUAAGGUAACGGCUUACCAAGGCAACGAUGCGUAGCCGACCUGAGAGGGUGAUCGGCCACACUGGAACUGAGACACGGUCCAGACUCCUACGGGAGGCAGCAGUAGGGAAUCUUCCGCAAUGGGCGCAAGCCUGACGGAGCAACGCCGCGUGAGUGAUGAAGGUCUUCGGAUCGUAAAACUCUGUUAUUCGGGAAGAACAAAUGUGUAAGUAACUAUGCACGUCUUGACGGUACCUGAUCAGAAAGCCACGGCUAACUACGUG
rnacentral:rRNA from 1 species